rnacentral:rRNA from 1 species
GUCCACGCCCUAAACGAUGCGAACUGGACGUUGGGAGCAAUUAGGCUCUCAGUGUCGAAGCUAACGCGUUAAGUUCGCCGCCUGGGGAGUACGGUCGCAAGACUGAAACUCAAAGGAAUUGACGGGGGCCCGCACAAGCGGUGGAGUAUGUGGUUUAAUUCGAUGCAACGCGCAGAACCUUACCUGGCCUUGACAUCCACGGAAUCCUUGAGAGAUCAGGGAGUGCCUUCGGGAACCGUGAGACAGGUGCUGCAUGGCUGUCGU